ensembl:lncRNA
GUUUGACUCAACACACGAAGGGAAGGAUGAAAUGAUGCAACUUUGGGCACCCAAAAAGUCAGUUAACUAUAAAACCUAUGAACAGACGCCAGCCUACCUGUCAGCCACUGGCAGAACUCCAGCAUCGUACCCUGUGUAGAAAAGUUUGUGGAUCAGGAGAGGCUUAACACACCGACGCAGCAUUGCCUCCCCAGCUGCAACGCCCAGACCCUUCCAGCCAGUGGGAGAGAGAGGUAGUCGCAGACUGCAGAGGGAGAGAGAGAGAGAGAGAGCAAGAGAGAAGGCACUUUGCAAGCCUCUUCCAGACCGACCUCACGCUGGGAUUCCAUAGAGAGACGGCGGGCGAGUGACAGCGAGUUGCAGCAAAAGAGAGAGAGAGACGUUGAGGCUCUGUUGCAGUUGAGGUCUCUACCACAGCCCCUUAGGAUGACCGAGAAACAGCUCCCGGGGAUAGUGGGGGUGUUCUUUAGGUCCAGUCAACAACACCCCCCCAGGACAGAUUGACACAGAUCCAGGUAGUAUGGUUUCUGGAUAGAGGGAGCACCUCAGAGUCCACAGUCCCUGUUUGCCCCCUGGGUUCAAAGUGAGCAGUAUAUCGGUUUUUAACGGAGAUGCGCUGUGCCUUUUGAGCGAUGGGUUUUUGUAUCAUUUGCACGUUCUCUGAUUGUGCCAGUGUGUGUAUGCAAGAACACAC